rnacentral:rRNA from 1 species
CGCAGCCUGAUGCAGCCAUGCCGCGUGUAUGAAGAAGGCCUUCGGGUUGUAAAGUACUUUCAGCGGGGAGGAAGGUGAUGAGGUUAAUAACCUCAGCAAUUGACGUUACCCGCAGAAGAAGCACCGGCUAACUCCGUGCCAGCAGCCGCGGUAAUAA